GGGGGGGCUGACGACCAACCCAACAGUUGGAGUGAGGUCCAGAUCACAUUCGGACACCCCAGGAGGUGGAGUGAACCUGAACUUCUGCAGGAGUGAGGUGAAGAAGAGGAAGAUCUCCAUCCUGGCCAGACUCU